CAUAAUAAUAACAUCACACAAGUGUUUUCAAAUUCUAAGCCUUGUGAAUCUCUUAAACUGGAAGAGGGAUUGCGAACCCCCUGACUUUCUUGCCCCUUUCCUGUAUCUCCAGGAACAAACCAAGAUGAGGCUUUGCAAUCAACAAUGAGCAACUCAAACAUUGUGGCCCUUGGGAAACUUUUGUUCGGUCAUCAUACAAUUAUUUGCAUGUGAAGGCUUUGGUUAAAUGCGAUGCUGCGAUCACAGCUGGAUACUUUGCUCAUCACUCAAUUCUCCUCAUCUCCACGUAGCCGGACAGCAACGCACACCAAAGAGACAACAAGGAGAGAGGCAUCCCAGUUGCACCCGGCAGAUGUCAAAUUGUUUAUUGUCUUUCCCUCUCUUUCUCUCUCUCUCACUGUCUUUAUCUCUCACUCUCUCUCUCUCGCUCUCUGUCUCUUUUUCUCUCACAUUCUAUCCAAUACUCUCUUUUUCUCUCUCUCUCUCUCUCUCUCUCUCUCUCUCUCUCUCUCUCUCUCUCUCUCUCUCUCUCUCUCUCUCUCUCUCUCUCUUCUCUCUCUCUCUCUCCCUCUCUCUCUUCCGCUCUCUUUCACUCUCUCCCUCUCUCUCUCCCUCUCUUCCGCUCUCUCUCUCUCUCCCUCUCUCUCUUCCGCUCUCUUUCACUCUCUCCCCCACUCUCACCCUCGCUCACUCCUUUUUGUAUACCAAUGCCUAUUAUUCG
ensembl:lncRNA